rnacentral:misc_RNA from 1 species
GAUGAAGAACGCAGCGAAAUGCGAUAAGUAAUGCGAAUUGCAGAAUUCAGUGAAUCAUCGAAUCUUUGAACGCACAUUGCGCCCGCCAGUAUUCUGGCGGGCAUGCCUGUUCGAGCGUCAUUUCCACCAUCAGGCCCCCGGGCCUGUGUUGGGGACCUGCGGCUGCCCGCAGGCCCCGAAAUUCAGUGGCGGUCGCGCCGUAGCAACCGAGCGUAGUAACUAAAACGUCUCGCUCUGGCUCGCUGGGCGCGCUCCGGCCGUAAAACACCCCCCCUUUUCGCAAAGGUUGACCUCGGAUCAGGUAGGAAUACCCGCUGAACUUAAGCAUAUCAAUAAGCGGAGGA